UAUUGGUCAAUGGACGCAAGUCUGAACCAGCUAUGCCGCGUGAAGGAUUAAGGUCCUCUGGAUUGUAAACUUCUUUUAUCCUGUGACGAAAAAAGGUCUUUCUAGACCCCUUGACGGUACCAGAUGAAUAAGCACCGGCUAACUCCGUGCCAGCAGCCGCGGUAAUACGGAUGGUGCAAGCGUUAUCCGGAUUCACUGGGUUUAAAGGGUGCGUAGGCGGGUAGGUAAGUCAGUGGUGAAAUCCUGGAGCUCAACUCCAGAACUGACAUUGAUACUAUCUAUCUUGAAUAUUGUGGAGGUAAGCGGAAUAUGUCAUGUAGCGGUGAAAUGCUUAGAUAUGACAUAGAACACCCAUUGCGAAGGCAGCUUACUACGCGUAUAUUGACGCUGAGGCACGAAA
rnacentral:rRNA from 1 species